rnacentral:rRNA from 5 species
GCUUACGGCCAUACCAGCCUGUACGCCCGAUCUCGUCCGAUCUCGGAAGCUAAGCAGGGUCGGGCCUGGUUAGUACUUGGAUGGGAGACCGCCUGGGAAUACCAGGUGCUGUAAGCUUUU